AUGGGUGGAGGGCGUGGCCAUGGAGGUGGACAGGCGAGCUGCCACCCAAGAUCUUGCCCUUGUCAUUCUCAAUCUGGCAGCCCUGGGCUCUUCCAUGAUGCCAGACUUGCUGGUACAUCUCGCCUGCUUCAGUUUACCCAUAGUGGUUUAUUUUCCAUUGUUCAGGUUGUGGAUAAAGAGAAGAGGAAGCAAGUAACGGAGGAGAUGGGCGGUGCAAUGAGAGCAAGAGAUUCAAAGCAAGACAUGGACAUACUUGCCGCUUUUAGAAGAGAUGCGGACCAUGAGGGUACGAUCUGGGCAUCUUGCCAUUCUCUUAAGUUUAGUUAA
rnacentral:rRNA from 1 species